rnacentral:rRNA from 1 species
UACAGAAGGUGCGAGCGUUAUUCAUAAUUACUGGGCGUAAAGGGUAUGUAGGUGGAAUGGCAAAUUUGGCUACAAAUUCUGGAGUCGUAACUUCAGACUUAAGCUUUUAGAUUACUAUUCUUUUUUAGAGUUAAUAACGGGUCGGAGGAACUUUUAGCGAAAAGAUAGAAUUUUACAAUUCUGAAAGGAACACCAAAGGCGAAGGCAUCCCUCUAGUGUUAACUGACGCUGAGGUACGGAAGCGUAGGGAUCAAACAGG